UACGUAGGGUGCGAGCGUUGUCCGGAAUUAUUGGGCGUAAAGAGCUCGUAGGCGGCUUGUCGCGUCGGAUGUGAAAGCCCGGGGCUUAACUCCGGGUCUGCAUUCGAUACGGGCAGGCUAGAGUUCGGUAGGGGAGAUCGGAAUUCCUGGUGUAGCGGUGAAAUGCGUAGAUACCAGGAGGAACACCGGUGGCGAAGGCGGUUUCCUGGCCGAGUACUGACGCUGAGGCACGAAAGCGUGGGGAGCGAACGGG
rnacentral:rRNA from 1 species